UUUUACCGCUUAUAGCUUAUCUAAGUGAGUUGAGCUCAUGGUGUAGAACUAUGUGAGGGACCCUAGCCUUAGUGACAAAGUUCUCCGGGAUGACCACUGAAAGGGUUAAGAUUAACUUGCCUCAAUACACAGAACACCGUUAGGUAAAGUAAGCUUAUUCACUGAAAAAGAACAUCAUUUACAAACUAAUAAAAAAAUAUUAAACAUAUGAACAUCACUCAAAGAACUCUGAGCCUCCUACCAUGAUGGAUAGCUUACCAUCAUCAUGUGCUGUAACAUCCUGGAUAAAUCAUUGUAAAUAGAUAAGCUGCUUGUUAUUGGUGUGUGUUUUUUUUUUUCUUCCAGGCCAUUUUUCUGUUUUUUACAGUCAUUCAAUUCAUCAUAAACCAGCCCCACUCUCCAUGUACUUUUCCUUGUGAGUGGUUGAUUAUGAUUCAAGAUGUGAGAUGAUUGGCUAAUUGAGCAUCUGCUGUGAUAAUAGUUAUUAAUUGUACAUUGAAUCUGUUCUCUAUGGCUUGAACUCACAACCUAAAUAUGAAGUGUCUAACCUUUUUAAUUUAUUCACUUCAGAUGGUUAGGUGUACGGUUGGAAUUUAUUGGCAGCAUCAUCACAUUCGCUGCUGCUGUCUUUGCUGUUGCUGGUCGAGGCUCAAUCAGUUCAGGCAUUGUUGGUUUGUCUGUAAAUUAUGCUCUUAAUAUAACUGUAACUCUCAACUUUCUGGUGAGAAUGUGCUCAGAGAUAGAAGCCAACAUUGUAUCUGUUGAGAGGAUUAAAGAAUACAUUGAGGAAGAUCAUGAAGCACCAUGGGAUGUUAAGCAAUGCACUCCACCAAAGUCAUGGCCAGAGAAUGGCUGCAUUGUAUUUUCCAACUACCAAACCAGAUACCGCCCAGGUCUAGAACUGGUGUUGAAGGGUAUCACUUGUACCAUUAAUCCUGGAGAAAAGGUUGGCAUUGUGGGGAGGACAGGAGCUGGCAAGUCUUCUUUAACUCUUGCACUCUUUAGACUUAUUGAGGCUCAUAGUGGUUCAAUUGACAUAGAUGGCAUCAGGAUUUCCAAAAUGGUCUCCAUGAAUUAAGAAGCUGCCUCACUAUUAUACCACAGGACCCUGUUUUGUUUAGUGGAACUUUGCGCAUCAAUUUGGAUCCAUUUGGCAUGUAUGAUGAUGCAACUGUUUGGCACGCACUUGAAUUGGCUCAUCUUAGUUCUUUUGUUGCUGCCCAACCUCUUGGUCUGCAAAGUGUUGUGGAUGAAGGGGGAUCCAACCUCAGGUAAAAGUAAUACAUUUAUAAUUUCAUGAUUUUAAAAGCUGAAGUUCCUCUUGGGCUAGUGUAACCCAAGACAACAGCAAAGACUAUAAUCAACACAACUAACUAAAAGAAUAUACCUAUAGGUUGCCAUAUCUAUAAAAAAAAGUAUGCUUUAACCCUUAAACUGUUAAAACAUGGAUCUGCAGCCAUGUGGCUUACUGUUUAUAGUAUGACACACCUUCUGAAUGUGGCAUGAUGUAUUUUGCAGUUGAAAAGUCUUGGGUCUGAAAUGUCAAAGUAACAACAUCUAGUAAAAAAAAGUUCUGCUAUCCCUACCAAGCCAAUUGCCUUAGUUCAUGCUUGGUCACCAUCAUGGGCAUUAAGAGACAGUUUUAGAUUUUUUUUUUUUUUUUAACAAGUCGGCUGUCUCCCACCGAGGCAGGGUGACCCAAAAAAGAAAGAAAAUCCCCAAAAAGAAAAUACUUUCAUCAUCAUUCAACACUUUCACCACACUCACACAUUAUCACUGUUUUUGCAGAGGUGCUCAGAAUACAACAGUUUAGAAGCAUACACAUAUAAAGAUACACAACAUAUCCCUCCAAAUAAAUAAAUAAAUUCUAUUUUAGAAUGAAGACUGAAGAUUUCUCUAGCAAUGAGCACUGAAAGAUUUACUAGGUGUGUAGUAUUUUUUGACAAUGUAAGCAAUAUAAAUUAAGGCUCUGUACAAGAAGUGGUAACACAUAUGACCACAUAAACACUCCACUCACCUUACAUGGCUAUCACAAAGUGCAGUUAUGUCACCCACAUGGAUGUACCCUUGCUCCACCCAUUUAAUAUGUUUCUAAUGUACAGUAGACUGUUGAGCAACACGAUAGUUAUGUAUACCAAACUGAUAAACAUA